rnacentral:rRNA from 1 species
UACAGAGGGUGCAAGCGUUGUUCGGAAUUAUUGGGCGUAAAGCGCGUGUAGGCGGCUUUGCAAGUCGGGUGUGAAAGCCCUCGGCUCAACCGAGGACGUGCAUCCGAAACUGUGAAGCUCGAGUAUGGAAGAGGGUCGCGGAAUUCCCGGUGUAGAGGUGAAAUUCGUAGAUAUCGGGAGGAACACCAGUGGCGAAGGCGGCGACCUGGGCCAAUACUGACGCUGAGGUGCGAAAGCGUGGGGAGCAAACAGG